rnacentral:tRNA from 3 species
GGAGAGGUCGCAUAGCCCGGCCUAGUGCGCGUCUUUGGAGAAGACGUAUAACCGCAAGGUUAUCGAGGGUUCAAAUCCCUCCCUCUCCG